UGCUCAGCAACUCCUAUCCCUACCUCCUCGCGGUACCGGCCGGAAACUAUGAGCAACCUUAGGGAAGAUCGGGUAACCAACCCCGGUGGGAACUUUGGUCAUAGACUGACAGGGAGGG
rnacentral:ribozyme from 1 species